UAUCACUCCCUAUCUUACUACUUCAAGACAGGGUCUCUCAACAGAGCCGGAGCUAGGCUGGUGGCUAGCAAACCCCAGAGAUCCUCUUGUCGUGGCUUCGCCCAGGCCUGGGGGGUUUGCAAUCGUAGGUAGCUAUACCCUACCUUUUAUGUGAAUUCCAGGGAUUUAGCCUCAGAUUCCCAUUCUUAUAAAAAGAAUCGUUAUUACCCAUUGGUCCAUCUUCCCUCCCAAUAGAACUGACGUAAAAAAAAAAAAAUAAAUAGUGUGGAGUAGAAAUAUCUGUCUUGAGGAAAGUCAUGUGUAGAUCAUAACUGUCAAGAUAAAAAUGGAUUUAAAUGUUGUGUGUAUGCAUGAGCUUUCAGUACUGAGGAGAGAAAUGGGUUUGAUCAUAAAAAUGCCAGAGAAAUAUUGAGUAUUCCGGGUACGGCUAGGACCACUCGAAAGCUAUCCACUUCACAGAAGGCACCAGCGAAACAAUAUUCUGUGAGACUUUCUCAACAGUAAAACCAACAGGGAAGAUUUCUCCUGGGUGAAGAAAACCGAACCCACCACAGCAGAACCUGACUGUGAUCUCUUCAGGUAGCUGUGGGACACCUGCCACUUCUUGGAAAAAGGCGACAGUGAAGAAUUUGAAGAGCAACUAAGGGAUGAGAAGCUACAGCUUUACUUCUGAAAAUUCACAAAGGAGUCCAUGUUCCAAGAUGAGAGAAAUACCAGUGAAUUGUGUUCCUUUCAGUUUAGAAGAGAUAACACUGAGAUCCAAAGAUGCUUUCCAAACCAGGAAGGAUAACCGGAAUAUUGGACGCUCUUGCGCUAUUUACUAAUGUUGCCGCCUUACAGGAAGCCGAUGGUUAUUCUAUUUGACUGAAUGAAAAGAAAAGGAAGUCGCUUCCUGUCAAUCCUGCUUUGGAUUCCUGGACAGUUUAAGAAGCACCAUUGAUCUGAUCAUUGACACUGAGAAGGAAAUGUCCAUCCACUGAAGACACGUGGGGCUCCUCCCAGUUUGACAUGGGCAGUGAGUGGUUCCUGAUGUAGCCCUUUCUGUAAACUACCUCUUCACACACAUGUAAACCCCUGCUUCCUCCUUUAAGUAGCCACAUUGGUGGUGCCUCUGUUGUAAGGUUUCAGGGAAGAUUGACUAGAUAGUGGGGAGGAAAGCAUUUGGGAAGGUGAUUUGCUUCUGCUUUUCUUGUAAUCUCCCAAAACAGAGAUAGUCUUGUUGCAUAGAUGCAGUCAGUGGUUUCUUGGAUUUGGGGAGUUAAAAGUCAUGUGACACAGGUCUAUUGACACAUCGAUGUGAAUAGGUUAAGGCAAUGCUGUUGUGAUUGAGAAGUAUCGCCACAGUAAAGCUUUAGCAUGAAUCCAAGCAGCUUAUAAUGACACGGGACUCUCAAUGAAUGAAGUUUUAAGGGAUAAAAUCUUUACAAUGAAAAAAAAAAAAAAAAACUUAAGCAAACGAUUAGGUUCCAGUAAAAAUAAGCUAUGUUUUAAGAGUGGUUUCUAUAUUCAGUGUUAUUACCCUUCACUUAUACUCAGAAAAAAUAUGUUAUGCUCAAGCUGGUUCAUAGUCUUCAGAAAUAAGAAUGGAUGUUAUACUUUGAUGUAAUAUUAAUAUGUUGCCUAUACAAAGGAAACACUUUUGGUGAUAAAAAAUUGACUAUAAAUGUCAACAAGCUUAUUUUUGUCUUUCGGUUUUAAAAAAAUUAUUUGUAUUUUGUGUACAUUGGUAUUUGCCUCAAUGUGGGUCUGUGUGAGGGUGUCAGAAACCCUGGAACUGGAAUUAUAGACAGUUGUGAGUUGCCACUGGUGACUGAGAGUUGAAACCAGGGCUUCUGGAAGAGCAACCAAGUGUUCUUAGCCACUGAGCCAUCUCUCUAGCUCAAAUUUUCUCUUUCUUAAUAGCACCAUCUAUGUUUAAUUAAAAAACUAAAGAUGUUUUUGAACUAUGUAAAGAUGUGAUGGAUUAUAGCAAUGAGAGUUUAGAGUUCCCCCUUCCCUCUAGCGUCCCUCCACCCUUAUAAUUGCUUCUGAGAAGUUGUGAUGCUCCUUGCUUUCCACAUCAUAAACACCAAACUCAUAGAGGAUAACGGGGCUGGGAGAUGUUUAGUUGGCAAAGUAUUUGCAGCAUAAGCAUGAGGCCCUGAGUUUGAUUCCCAAAACCUACUUAAAAAUGUCAAGAAUGAUGGUGGCAUGCAUUUGUGAUUCCAGUGUUGACUAGGGACAGACAGCUGGCCUUUGGGGCUUGCUGGUCAUCCAGUCUCAUUUAUUAGGUGCAUCAAUGGUCCAAGAGUCAUGUCUCAAAUCAAGGUAAUUGGUUUCUGAAGACUUAUACCUGUGGAUGAUCUCUGGCUUCCACACAUGCACAGGUACCUGUACAUUCAUGUGCACUCACAUAAACAUGCAUGUGUGUGAGCAUAGACUCACUCAGUGUGCUUUAAUAGUCUAAUUUAGUUAACAUCCUACAAAGAGCAUUGUUGAUAGUGACUUAGUCCUUUUCAUGAGCACCAAACUGUCUGAAUGCUCCCUAUAUCAAAUCAGCAGAAUAGCAGGGCAUAUGCACUAUAAUCUUUCUUCUAUUGACAAAAAAAAAAAAAAAAAAAAA